CGGAAGUACCAACGGCCACUGUAAGCACAAGCG
rnacentral:sRNA from 1 species